rnacentral:lncRNA from 1 species
CACUAAGAUGCCCCUUCCACACUCCAUUAAAUUGACUUCAUUUUCUUGACAAUGAGAUUUCCAUUUAGUUUUCAUCAACUGCUUAGAUUUCCUCAUCUUCAAAUGCCUCAUUUUCAAAAGCAAUAGGAAGUCUAUGCUUCAUACUAUAUAAUGUGCAAGGCUUCCAUUUAAUGAAUUGUUUGGCUAAUUUUUUUAGGCAAAUAAGCACAUUAAUUUGUACAAGCUAUUAAUACCAAUUAUUAACGCUUUUCAUUUUGUUGGUUUCAGCAAUCUCUGCAUGACACAUACUGCAACAAAAUGGAAAUUGAUUUCACCAAGUUUGGCAACUCUGCAGUGUUUUGUAACCUUUGCAACGACGCUUAUUUGAAAGGCUGGGUUUCAUUAUCCUUCUUUUGCCUGCUUCUCAAGAUGUUGCUGUAUUUGGAGAUAAAAGGACACUUCUAGAAGAAACUUCGGGUUAAUCAUGAUAACAGUUGUUCAACGUCAAUUCAGCAUCGUCAGUUUUCCAUGAUCUGCCUUAAUUCAGGGUCAUAUUCCUGCAUAUUUGGCAGAUUCCCUAUAAUUAUGGAAUGAAUAUAUAAAUGAGUAAAGAGAAGGGAACAUGAACAAAAUACUUCCUAAUAGCAGAUAAUCCAAAAGCCAUUUUUCUUGGAUGUUGCAAAACAUUAUACGGCUUUCUUUUUUCUGGUGUAGAUUUACUUCCUUAAUUACAUUUUGUUUGGGUUAAUACUAAAGUUCAUGUUUUUAUUUUUGCACUUUCACACUAAUUUUGUGAAUUUACAAAUGUAGAGGGUGCUGAAUAGCAAGAAAACAUCAAGAGUAGACUAAAAAUGUCCC